AUUGAACGCUGGCGGCAUGCUUUACACAUGCAAGUCGAACGGUAACAGCACUUCGGUGGCUGACGAGUGGCGAACGGGUGAGUAAUGUAUCGGAACGUGCCCAGUAGUGGGGGAUAACUACUCGAAAGAGUAGCUAAUACCGCAUGAGAUCUCUGGAUGAAAGCGGGGGACCGUAAGGCCUCGCGCUACUGGAGCGGCCGAUAUCAGAUUAGGUUGUUGGUGAGGUAAAGGCUCACCAAGCCGACGAUCUGUAGCUGGUCUGAGAGGACGACCAGCCACACUGGGACUGAGACACGGCCCAGACUCCUACGGGAGGCAGCAGUGGGGAAUAUUGGACAAUGGGGGCAACCCUGAUCCAGCAAUACCAAAUGAGUGAAGAAG
rnacentral:rRNA from 1 species